rnacentral:rRNA from 1 species
GCCAGGUACAAAUGCGCCAGGUGCUACCUGCUCAGUGGCCUUCAAGUAAAUACGACUAAAAGUAGGAUCGUAGAAGCAGGUUAAACAGCCGGGGUAAUCCUCAACCCUGUGAAAUAAGCAUAAUCGGAUACCGUUUGAUUGGCGGGGAGUUGAAUGGACGAACGAGCGCAAAGCUGUCUUGGGGGCAGGUCUAAUGAAAUAAGCAUGCCGGUGAAGAGACCGACACGUUUAGCAAGACGAGAAGACCCCGUGAAGCUUAACUCUAGACUCGUUGGGCAAAGAGGAGUUAGCUAGCUUCUUUCGUGAAGCUAGUUCGUGGUGUGACGUGCACACAACGGCACUCACCGUUUAGCAGCCAGUUGGUGAGUUUGGGUGGGGCGCCCGCAAGUGAAAAGUAUCAUUGAGUUACCAUAAAGGUCUAUGACGGACUGGUGUAGUUUACAUACUUACACAGAGACAAAUGUCGGGAAAGCGACCAGGACAUAAACUAAAUAAAAUUUUUCCUACUAAGGAUAAUAGUUACUCCGGGGAUAACAGAGUAAUGAUUCCCUGGGGAACGUUACCGGGGGGAUCGUUUGCUACCUCGAUGUUGAAUUAGCUUAGCGCGUCCACGAAGCAACGGACAAGCGUGGGUCUGUUCGCCCCCUAAGAAGCU